rnacentral:misc_RNA from 1 species
UUUCCGUAGGUGAACCUGCGGAAGGAUCAUUACAGAGUUCAUUCUCGAACGGGUAGACCUCCCACCCUUGUGUAUUAUUACUUUGUUGCUUUGGCGAGCGCAAGCUCGCCAGCUAAUACCAAAACUCUUUUUAUUAAUGUCGUCUGAGUACUAUAUAAUAGAUAAAACUUUCAACAACGGAUUUCUUGGUUCUG